GGGUUCCUGCAAGAUCCUGCAGCCUUGCUAGCCGUCCCUCCGCCAUCAGCAGCCAGAAUGAAUCAGGUCAUUUCACUUCACCCACUCAGCCUAGCUUUCCAAAUUCCUCUCUCCAGCCUCAGUGCCUGCACACAGCACUGACCAUGGUCCACUCUCACCACCACCCACCCUCCCCGCCGCUUGGACUCCAUUCACACCAGCUUCCCCCGCACUCCGGGAACGAGACAGGCCCUCUUCCUCACCAGAGCUGGCACACAUCCUCCACCCUCUGCUCAGGGCAUCCUUCCCCCAGACCUGCGAGCCUGCCCACCUUCAGGGCUCAGCCUCGGUGUCACACCCUCAAACAGCUCUCCUGACCCCUGACUGACUGAACGCCGCUGUUCCACAUUCACAGCACCCGAUGCUUUUCCUCUGAAACGUUCCUGUCAUGGUUGCGAUCUGCUUCUCCUCCUGCAUCCCUGAUGCAGGUCCACGUUUCCACCGGCCCAACUGGUGUCCCGAGUUAGACCCGGAAGUUACUCUGGACUUCUCCCUCGGUGCCUUCAUAGACUCUUCAGCUGUGCUGAGCGCUCCCUGCCCCUGUCUCAGCCUCUGCCGGCCACCAGCGCACCCUCAGCCGAGGCCGGACAGCUUGCUGCCCUGUCGUGACGUCCCCUCUCGAGCACAGUCGAUGCACAGCCUGUGGUUGUGGCUGCCACUGUAUCAGAAAAGUUGUGUAGAGCAGAGCACCGCUCUCAGUUCUGCUGCGUCCCACUCCUGAGACAAGGCUGGAAGGCGGGCAGGUAAGGUGCCGGGUGCACGGGGCGCCAAGCACCUGGAGGCCUGGUGAGCAAGAAAGGCAGAGUCUGGGGACUUGAAUCCUUAGUCUCAUCUCUCGGGUUCUUUUGCCAGCAGCAGGAGGCCUUGCUGUGUGUAGACGAGGUGAUGACCAGGACAGUGUCUGCUGGUCUUUGAGGAACCUGUUUGUAUGAAGAAAUGUCAGCUCCCUGGUAGGAUCAGCUGAAACCAGACUUAACCCUCUGCCUUACCCAUAAAAUGUUAUUUAAGCAGCAGAAAAUGAAUGAGGGGAGGCUGUGGAGUGUUUUCCUUAUAAGGAAAGUUAGGCCCUUAAUGAAUAGUGAGAACACCUUGAUGUAUCUUGAGGACUAAAGGGCAACAUAAAACUUAACCAGAAAUUUCUCUGACGUCCUGAAGAACAGGGACUGGUAGCUGCUGCUUAACCAGGUAACCAGCCUGUGCACGGCCCUCCCCGUUUGGGCGGAAGGAGCUGCUUUCUUAGCUGUCUCUGGGUGAGGAUGAAUUCCGCUGUUCCCUCCUGACCUGCACAUGCAUGCGGGCCGUGAAAGCGUGUCUCCCAUUAGAUCUGGUGGCCACGGUAUGCCUGGCCUCCGUGUCUUGAAGUUACGGAUUAAAGGGCGCUCUGCCUUC